GACGAACGCUGGCGGCGUGCUUAACACAUGCAAGUCGUACGGUAAGGCCCUUUCGGGGGUACACGAGUGGCGAACGGGUGAGUAACACGUGAGUAACCUGCCCACAACUUUGGGAUAACGCUAGGAAACUGGUGCUAAUACUGGAUAUGUGCUCCUGCUGCAUGGUGGGGGUUGGAAAGCUCCGGCGGUUGUGGAUGGACUCGCGGCCUAUCAGCUUGUUGGUGGGGUAGUGGCCUACCAAGGCGGCGACGGGUAGCCGGCCUGAGAGGGUGACCGGCCACAUGGGGAAUGGGAUACGGCCCAGACUCCAAGGGGGGGCAGCGGUGGGGAAUAUUGCACAAUGGGCGCAAGCCUGAUGCAGCAACGCCGGGUGGGGGAUGGCGGCCUUCGGGUUGUAAACCGCUUUCAGCAGGGAAGAAGUUUUUUGUGAGGGUACCUGCAGAAGAAGCACGGGCAAACUACGU
rnacentral:rRNA from 1 species